AGGGCAGCAGCACAGGCGGCUCUUGACUUGCUGCUUUGUCACUGCCUGGGGCCCUCACAGAGCAACUCUGUUUUCAGAGAUUGGCAGGCAGGAGGACUUCUCUCAUAGCCCAGACACUGAGCUCUCAGCUGGAGUUCACGUUGGGGGGAAGGUCAAUUAGAGCAGUGAAAGAGGCUAUGCUUCAUCUGUAAUAUCUACCUACUCUAAGAAGAAUAAAGCUACUUCUGCCAGGAAAAGCUGCUACUUCUGCCAGGAAAAAAGAUGUUUCAGUUUUCUGCUCUUCUGAAGAACUUCAGGAAUGCAGUCUCCCAUGGUCUUCUUUUGAUUGUUUUUCUUCAACCACUAGGCUGAAAUACUGUCUGUAAUACUGCAACUCCAAUCUGAGCAAAAACUGUUUCAGUCAAAUACAAAGCUACAUGCUGGUAGGCAAAGUUCAGUCAGUUGCUGCUAGAAGGUUGCUGGGUCCCUUGUGAGAUAGAGUAACACAACAGGGAAAUGCAGGGUAACCAAGGUUGUUCUCCUUUGAACGUGACUGAGAAAGAGCUGUGCAAGGCUAAUACAGUGACAGCCUUCACUCUUCCUGGCUUCUCAAUGAUCUCAUCAAUUCGGAGCAUGAGAGAGGGACUGAACUGGGAAAUCAUACACAACCAUGCCAAAAUGAGGGAGGAAAACCAAUGUGGAUAUGUUUCCAGCUCAGCCACUGCCUUGUGAGUGCUCCAAAGGAGCUGUAGACAGUUUGGCACCACUUGGCCAGACUGCUGGGAUCUCUUCCCCAUUGUUUUUGUGGUAUAGGUGACUGCUUAAAAAUGAAAAACUCUGGAAAUGAGUUUGUUUUUCCUGGUCAGAAAUUGACUGUGAUGGUGGGAUAAUAAUCAGAGAGUGUAUCUCAGCCCCAGAUCUAGACUGCAUGUUCUUGUUCCUAAUGCAAUCAUGUUCGCACUUAGCAGUCAAAACAGAAAAUAUCAAGGGCCCAAUUUUCUAAAUACUGAGAAAUAACACUACUAAUUGUUUCAAGAGGCCUUACACAUAAAACAAUGACAAACCACGCUGGCACUGUGCGAACGGCUGUGUUAUU